AUGAUGCAAACUGCCGAUGCUUGGACAAACCACAAGAGGGCGCGUCGUUCUUCAGAUGAGGGUUAUUUUCCACAUGGCUUAAGUGAUUUGAAGGUCUGGGUGAAGAUUUCUACCCCAACUUCCUUCCUGGACUGUCCUGUUGAUAUAUUCCUAAGUAACAACACUUUAAUCAUUUUAGGAAGGACGAAUGGAGACUCAGUGACCCAGACAGAGGGACUGGUUAUCCUCUCCGAGGGCUCAUCUCUGACCCUGAACUGCAACUACCAAGCUGACUCCUAUUCGGAAUUCCUUUUCUGGUACGUCCAGUAUCUCCAUGAAGGUCCUCAGCUCCUGUUGAAAAGCACAACAGAAAACCAGAGAAUGGAGCAUCAUGGUUUCCAUGCCACUCUUGUCAAGAAGGACAGCUCCUUCCACCUGCACAAAUCCUCACUGCAGUUAUCAGACUCAGCUGUGUACUACUGUGCUCUGAGAGACACAGUGAGAGGAACCACAGGGGAAGUUGAGCACAAACCCAGAGGCGUGCAGCUGGGGCCUGGUGUGGGAAGCCCAGGGAGCAGAGAGCUAAGUUUUCCUGCAAAGUCAUGAUGUGUCUGGGAACACUCACAUGGAAGGAAGAGAUUCCAGCUUUGAUAUCUCAGGCUCGGGCGCCCUGGAGUGAGACUAGGAGUGGGAAGAAGAAAUCUAAUGAACAGGCAAGUUCCAGUUCU